AACGAACGCUGGCGGCAUGCCUAACACAUGCAAGUCGAACGAGACCUUCGUGUCUAGUUGCGCACGGGUGCGUAACGCGUGGGAAUCUACCCUCAGGUUCGGGAUAACUCAUAGAAAUUUGAGCUAAUACCGGAUGAUGACGUAAGUCCAAAGAUUUAUCGCCUGAGUAUGAGCCCGCUUAGGAUUAGGUAGUUGGUGAGGUAAAGGCUCACCAAGCCGACGAUCCUUAGCUGGUCUGAGAGGAUGAUCAGCCACACUGGGACUGAGACACGGCCCAGACUCCUACGGGAGGCAGCAGUGGGGAAUAUUGGACAAUGGGCGAAAGCAUGAUCCAGCAAUGCCGCGUGAGUGAUGAAGGCCUUAGGGUUGUACAGCUCUUUUACCCGGGAUGAUAAUGACAGUACCGGGAGAAUAAGCUCCGGCUAACUCCGUG
rnacentral:rRNA from 1 species